GAUGAACGCCGGCGGUGUGCCUAAUACAUGCAAGUCGAACGCGUUGGCCCAAUUGAUUGAUGGUGCUUGCACCUGAUUGAUUUUGGUCGCCAACGAGUGGCGGACGGGUGAGUAACACGUAGGUAACCUGCCCAGAAGCGGGGGACAACAUUUGGAAACAGAUGCUAAUACCGCAUAACAGCGUUGUUCGCAUGAACAACGCUUAAAAGAUGGCUUCUCGCUAUCACUUCUGGAUGGACCUGCGGUGCAUUAGCUUGUUGGUGGGGUAACGGCCUACCAAGGCGAUGAUGCAUAGCCGAGUUGAGAGACUGAUCGGCCACAAUGGGACUGAGACACGGCCCAUACUCCUACGGGAGGCAGCAGUAGGGAAUCUUCCACAAUGGGCGCAAGCCUGAUGGAGCAACACCGCGUGAGUGAAGAAGGGUUUCGGCUCGUAAAGCUCUGUUGUUAAAGAAGAACACGUAUGAGAGUAACUGUUCAUACGUUGACGGUAUUUAACCAGAAAGUCACGGCUAACUACGUGCCAGCAGCCGCGGUAAUACGUAGGUGGCAAGCGUUAUCCGGAUUUAUUGGGCGUAAAGAGAGUGCAGGCGGUUUUCUAAGUCUGAUGUGAAAGCCUUCGGCUUAACCGGAGAAGUGCAUCGGAAACUGGAUAACUUGAGUGCAGAAGAGGGUAGUGGAACUCCAUGUGUAGCGGUGGAAUGCGUAGAUAUAUGGAAGAACACCAGUGGCGAAGGCGGCUACCUGGUCUGCAACUGACGCUGAGACUCGAAAGGCAUGGGUAGCGAACAGGAUUAGAUACCCUGGUAGUCCAUGCCGUAAACGAUGAGUGCUAGGUGUUGGAGGGUUUCCGCCCUUCAGUGCCGGAGCUAACGCAUUAAGCACUCCGCCUGGGGAGUACGACCGCAAGGUUGAAACUCAAAGGAAUUGACGGGGGCCCGCACAAGCGGUGGAGCAUGUGGUUUAAUUCGAAGCUACGCGAAGAACCUUACCAGGUCUUGACAUCUUGCGCCAACCCUAGAGAUAGGGCGUUUCCUUCGGGAACGCAAUGACAGGUGGUGCAUGGUCGUCGUCAGCUCGUGUCGUGAGAUGUUGGGUUAAGUCCCGCAACGAGCGCAACCCUUGUUACUAGUUGCCAGCAUUAAGUUGGGCACUCUAGUGAGACUGCCGGUGACAAACCGGAGGAAGGUGGGGACGACGUCAGAUCAUCAUGCCUCUUAUGACCUGGGCUACACACGUGCUACAAUGGACGGUACAACGAGUCGCGAACUCGCGAGGGCAAGCAAAUCUCUUAAAACCGUUCUCAGUUCGGACUGCAGGCUGCAACUCGCCUGCACGAAGUCGGAAUCGCUAGUAAUCGCGGAUCAGCAUGCCGCGGUGAAUACGUUCCCGGGCCUUGUACACACCGCCCGUCACACCAUGAGAGUUUGUAACACCCAAAGUCGGUGGGGUAACCUUUUAGGAGCCAGCCGCCUAAGGUGGGACAGAUGAUUAGGGUG
rnacentral:rRNA from 1 species